rnacentral:rRNA from 1 species
UACGUAGGGCGCAAGCGUUGUCCGGAAUUAUUGGGCGUAAAGGGCUCGUAGGCGGUUUGUCGCGUCGGGAGUGAAAACACGGGGCUUAACCCCGUGCCUGCUUCCGAUACGGGCAGACUAGAGGUAUGCAGGGGAGAACGGAAUUCCUGGUGUAGCGGUGAAAUGCGCAGAUAUCAGGAGGAACACCGGUGGCGAAGGCGGUUCUCUGGGCAUUACCUGACGCUGAGGAGCGAAAGUGUGGGGAGCGAACAGG